GACGAACGCUGGCGGCGGGCUUAACACAUGCAAGUCGAACGGAAACACCCAGAUGUUGUGUGGUGCUCGAAUGGCGAACGGAUGAGUAACAAGUGAGUAACCUGCCCUCUGAUUUAGGGUAACAUCAACUAAAUAGGGCUAAUAAUGGCUAAUAACUCCGGCUGACUGGUGGGGGGUGGAAAGGUUCGGCGGGUGGGGAUGGUAGCUCGGCUGAGGAGCUUGUUGGUGGGGGAGUAGCGCACAAAGGCUUUGACGGGUAGCCGGCCUGAGAGGGUGAACGGCCUCCUGGGGACUGCGAUACGGACCAGAGUGGUACUGGAGGCAGUAGGGGGGAAUAUUGCACAAUGGGCGGAAGCCUGAUGCAGCAACGCCGGGUGUGGGAUGACGGCCCUCGGGGUGUAAACCGCUUUCGCCUGUGACGAAGCGUGAGUGACGUUAAUGGGUAAAGAAGCACCGGCUAACUACGUG
rnacentral:rRNA from 1 species